CAUCACUACGCUAGAUGCAUAUCAAUAAGCGGAGGAAAAGAAACUAACAAGGAUUCCCCUAGUAACGGCGAGUGAAGCGGGAAGAGCUCAAAUUUGAAAUCUUAAAAGGUUUUCCUUUUACGAAUUGUAGUUUAAAGAAGUGUUUUCUGUUGAAGUUUUGGUACAAGUUCUUUGGAAUAGGACAUCAUAGAGGGUGAGAAUCCCGUAUUUGACCUUAAUUUUUCAACUUUGUGAUACACUUUACAAAGAGUCGGAUUGUUUGGGAAUGCAGUCCAAAAUGGGUGGUAAAUUUCAUCUAAGGCUAAAUAUUGGCGAGAGACCGAUAGCGAACAAGUACCGUGAGGGAAAGAUGAAAAGAACUUUGAAAAGAGAGUUAAAUAGUACGUGAAAUUGUCAAAAGGGAAGCGUUUGGCACCAGUGUUGUUUUUCUAAAAAUCAAUUUAAAAUUUGCUUAUGUUAAGUGUUUUAGACUUAAUCGGCUAUACAUUUAAUUCUUUGUAAAUUUUGAAUGCACUUUUUAGUUAACAAGUCAACAUCAAUUUUUUUUGCUGUAAAAAAGUAAGAGGAAGGUGGCUUGGGAUUCGUUUCAAGCGUUUAUAGCCUCUUGCCCAUGCAGUAGGAGAGAUUGAGGUCUGCAGCACAGAUCCUUCGGGGCUAGAUGCUUUUGCGCUAGAAGCUAGUAUUAUAUAGACAACUUGUUGAUUAUGUAAUAUAUUAGUUUCUACUCGCUUAAAGUUAUUUUACCUACGCUUAGGAUGUUGACUGAUAUGUAGUCGU
rnacentral:rRNA from 1 species